rnacentral:rRNA from 1 species
UACGUAGGGACCGAGCGUUGUCCGGAUUCAUUGGGCGUAAAGAGCUCGUAGGCGGCUGUUCAAGUCGAACGUGAAAACUCGGAGCUCAACUCCGAGCCUGCGUUCGAUACUGGACGGCUAGAGUCUGGUAGGGGGAUCUGGAAUUCCUGGUGGUAGCGGUGGAAUGCGCAGAUAUCGUAAGGAAGACCAGUGGCGAAGGCGGGUCGUCUGGACAGUUCCUGGACGCUGAGGCACGAAGGU